UGAACCUGGCGGAAUGCUCUCACAGUUUAAGUCGAACGGCAGCACGGACUUCGGUCUGGUGGCGAGUGGCGAACGGGUAUAUACAUCGGAACGGUGCCCAGUCGUGGGGGAUAACGUAGCGAAAGCUACGCUAAUACCGCAUACGAUCUAAGGAUGAAAGCGGGGGACCGUAAGGCCUCGCGCGAUUGGAGCGGCCGAUGGCAGAUUAGGUAGUUGGUGGGGUAAAGGCUCACCAAGCCGACGAUCUGUAGCUGGUCUGAGAGGACGACCAGCCACACUGGGACUGAGACACGGCCCAGACUCCUACGGGAGGCAGCAGUGGGGAAUUUUGGACAAUGGGGGCAACCCUGAUCCAGCAAUGCCGCGUGAGUGAAGAAGGCCUUCGGGUUGUAAAGCUCUUUUGUCAGGGAAGAAACAGCAGCUCUAACACAGUCUGCGAAUGACGGUACCUGAAGAAUAAGCACCGGCUAACUACGUGCCAGCGCCGCGGUAAUACGUAAGGUCGAGCGUUAUCGGAAUUCUGGGCGUAAGCGUGCGCAGCGGUGAGUAAGACAGAGGUGAAUCCCC
rnacentral:rRNA from 1 species